CCAAACCCUCAGCUUCCUGCAUCGGUGAGAUGAAGCCAAAAGAAAAAACAGAUUCCACUACAAGAGGACAAGAAGUCUUUUCAGAAAAAGACACAAUGAUGCUGACGCCUGCAUGCUGUGGAGGAUCUUCAGUGCAUCAUUGUGUUAAUUACGUGGAUUCUUCGGCCAGACAUGAGCCUUUGUCUCUCUCUGUGCAAUUAGGCAACUGCAUGAAAAUGUUCUCUUCUCCAUGAAUGAACUUCAAGUGUAACUGAAUACAGUUUUAAACACGGUUCAUAAAUAGAAUUAGUCCGUCACUAACCUUUUUUCAUAAAGACGGUAGAUUUGAAAAUGAGUUUUGAGACCUCAAAAGGUAUUUCGUUAGAUACACUUGUAUUAAGUCUUAUUUAUUUUUGAAACCUUUUUUUGAGAACUCUUUCUGAAAAAUGAAUAAAACUCUGGAUGGAUUUUGUUUGAAAUGUAAUCCUAAUCAUUGAAUAUUUUGUCAUUCUAGAUGAUUAUUUAUGUAAAUUGGUAAUCAGAUGGUGUGUUGAAGGCCUUGAAAGGUUGUUGUUUUUGUGGAUAAUGUAUUCAUAUGACUAUGGUAUUUCAUAGUGUCAGAGAUAAAGGAAAGACAUGUUUUUGUUCUUUAUUCAAUAAAAUAAUUAUUCCAGAAA